rnacentral:rRNA from 1 species
AGGGCGUUCGGUGGAUGCCUUGGCACCAGGAGGCGAUGAAGGACGUGGCAAGCUGCGAAAUGCUUCGGGGAGCUGCUUAGCAAGCUUUGAUCCGGAGAUGUCCGAAUGGGGAAACCCCAUGCUUCGGCAUGACCCCGCUCUGAAUUCAUAGGAGCGGAGGAGCUAACCCGGGGAACUGAAACAUCUCAGUACCCGGAGGAAAAGAAAUCAAAUAGAGAUUCCGUCAGUAGCGGCGAGCGAACACGGAAGAGCCCAAACCGCUGGGUUUACCCAGCGGGGUUGUAGGGCGGUUCAUAAGGGUGUGAAUCGAUAGCUGAACGGUCUGGAAAGUCCGGUCAUAGAGGGUGAUAAUCCCGUAAGCGAAAUCGUGAAGCAUCCGAGCCGUUCCUGAGUAGGGCGGGGCACGUGAAACCCUGUCUGAAUCCGGGAGGACCAUCUCCCAAGGCUAAAUACUACCUGGUGACCGAUAGUGAAUCAGUACCGUGAGGGAAAGGUGAAAAGAACCCCGUUGAGGGGAGUGAAAUAGAUCCUGAAACCGAGCGCUUACAAGCAGUCGGAGCGAAAGUGACGGCGUGCCUUUUGCAUAAUGAGCUAGCGAGUUAAUGUCACAGGCAAGGCCAAGGUGUGAAGCACCCGAGCCGCAGCGAAAGCGAGUCCGAAGCGGCGUUUAGUCCGUGGCAUUAGACCCGAAACUGGGUGAUCUACAUAUGGGCAGGUUGAAGCUGGGGUAAUUCCUAGUGGAGGACCGAACACGUGAAUGUUGAAAAAUUCUGUGAUGACCUGUGUGUAGGGGUGAAAGGCUAAUCAAACUCAGUGAUAGCUGGUUCUCGCCGAAACAUAUUUAGGUAUGGCCUCGGACGUUCCCUACGGGGGGUAGAGCACUGAUUGGGCUAGGGGUCUCACCAGAUUACCAAACCCUGUCAAACUCCGAAUACCCGUACGGCCAAAAGUCCGGGAGACAGACUGCGAGUGAGAAGAUUCGUAGUCGAGAGGGAAAGAGCCCAGACCAUCAGCUAAGGUCCCAAAGAUCACACUAAGUGGAAAACGUUGUGGGAGUGCACAGACAGCCAGGAUGUUGGCUUAGAAGCAGCCACCAUUUAAAGAAAGCGUAACAGCUCACUGGUCAAGUGCUCCUGCGCGGAAGAUGUAACGGGGCUCAAGUGUGGCACCGAAGCUAUGGACCCGCAAGGGUGGUAGGCGAGUAUUGUGGCAGCCUGCGAAGGUGUCUCGUGAGGGAUGCUGGAGGUACCACAAGAGCUCAUGCUAGCAUAAGUAGCGUAAAAGGACGGUGAAAAACCGUCCCGCCGAAAGUCCAAGGUUUCCUGGGCCAGGGUAAUCCUCCCAGGGUUAGUCGAACCCUAAGGCGAGGCCGAAAGGCGUAGUCGAUGGGAAACGGGUUAAUAUUCCCGUACCGUUUGUGUGGAGUGAUGCGGGGGUGGAGAAGGGCAGUCAGGCCGGGUGUUGGAUAUCCCGGUGCAAGCUCGUAGACAGAUCGCUUUGGCAAAUCCGGGCGGUUAAUGUCGAGAAGUGAUGCGGUGGACUUCGGUCCUGAAGUUGAUGAUCCCAUGCUCACAAGAAAAGCCGCUAAACGUUGAAGCACAUCGCUCGUACCCCAAACCAACUCAGGUGGACAGGGAGAGAAUCCCAAGGCGAUUGAGUGAAGCUGGGCCAAGGAACUCGGCAAAUUGAUACCGUAACUUCGGGAUAAGGUAUGCCGGCAGUGUGUAAGGCCUCGCGCCCCAAGCAUGCGCCGGUCGCAGAGAAGAGGGAGAAGCGACUGUUUAACAAAAACACAGCACUCUGCAAAAUCGUAAGAUGACGUAUAGGGUGUGACGCCUGCCCGGUGCUGGAAGGUUAAAAGGAGGGGUUAGCGCAAGCAAAGCUCCGAAUUGAAGCCCCAGUAAACGGCGGCCGUAACUAUAACGGUCCUAAGGUAGCGAAAUUCCUUGUCGGGUAAGUUCCGACCUGCACGAAUGGCGUAACGACUUCUCCGCUGUCUCGGCCCAGUGCUCAGCGAAUUUGAAAAACGGGUGCAGAUGCCCGUUACCCGCAGUAAGACGGAAAGACCCCGUGAACCUUUACUAUAACUUGGCAUUGGUAUUUGGGUUUGUCUGUGUAGGAUAGGUGGGAGGCUUUGAUCCAGCGGCGCCAGUCGUUGGGGAGCCGACGUUGAAAUACCACCCUGACAAUUCUGAAUAUCUAACCUCUUCCCGUAAGCCGGGAAAGGGACAAUGCCUGGUGGGUAGUUUGACUGGGGCGGUCGCCUCCAAAAAAGUAACGGAGGCGUACAAAGGUUCCCUCAGACCGAAUGGAAACCGGUCGUAGAGUGCAAAGGCAUAAGGGAGCUUGACUGCGAGAGGGACACCUCAAGCAGGCACGAAAGUGGGUCUUAGUGAUCCGGUGGUUCCGCAUGGAAGGGCCAUCGCUCAACGGAUAAAAGGUACUCCGGGGAUAACAGGCUGAUCUCCCCCAAGAGUUCACAUCGACGGGGAGGUUUGGCACCUCGAUGUCGGCUCAUCACAUCCUGGGGCUGAAGCAGGUCCCAAGGGUUUGGCUGUUCGCCAAUUAAAGUGGUACGCGAGCUGGGUUCAGAACGUCGUGAGACAGUUCGGUCCCUAUCUACUGUGGGCGCAGGAAAUUUGAGGGGGUCUGUCCUUAGUACGAGAGGACCGGGAUGGACGCACCUAUGGUGUACCUGUUGUCGCGCCAGCGGCAUAGCAGGGUAGCUAAGUGCGGUCGGGAUAACUGCUGAAAGCAUCUAAGUAGGAAGCCCACCCCAAGAUGAGAUUUCCCUGGCCGAAAGGCCCUGAAGAUCCGUUAUAGACCAUGACGUUGA